AUUGAACGCUGGCGGCAUGCUUUACACAUGCAAGUCGAACGGUAACAGGCCUUCGGGUGCUGACGAGUGGCGAACGGGUGCGUAAUGCAUCGGAACGUACCCAGAGGUGGGGGAUAACGCAGCGAAAGCUGUGCUAAUACCGCAUGUGAUCUGAGGAUGAAAGCGGGGGACCGAGCAGCAAUGUUUGGCCUCGCGCCUUUGGAGCGGCCGAUGUCGGAUUAGCUAGUUGGUGGGGUAAAGGCCUACCAAGGCGACGAUCCGUAGCUGGUCUGAGAGGACGACCAGCCACACUGGGACUGAGACACGGCCCAGACUCCUACGGGAGGCAGCAGUGGGGAAUUUUGGACAAUGGGCGCGAGCCUGAUCCAGCAAUGCCGCGUGCGGGAAGAAGGCCUUCGGGUUGUAAACCGCUUUUGGCAGGAACGAAACGGUGUCCGCUAAUACCGGGCGCUAAUGACGGUACCUGCAGAAUAAGCACCGGCUAACUACGUG
rnacentral:rRNA from 1 species